UCCACGCUAUAUGCGUGUAAUAAAGGAUUGGGGCUGUGAGCAGUUUGAUGCGUUACCAUUAGGUACCUUGUGCGCAUAUUUUGCCUCAUGGCCGCGUCAAAUUGCAGCCGGCAUGUGGAAUGGGCCGUGGCAUCAUAUGGAGCUGCUCAUGUGAGUGGUAUUGCCUCCGUCAGGAUCGUCAGUGCGUGCACAGAACCAUUCAGUAGUCUGAUUCAGGGGAGGGUACGCGUAAGAACGAGGACGUAAGAAAACACUGGCAUGACGAGCUAUUCCGUCAGAUCGCGUUGCAUCGCGCUUUUUUUCUAGGACCAUCUCGCUCGAGCGAGAGGAUCUUAGAACAGCAUUACUACUGCUUUUUUACAGCUUUGCUGCGGCUCAUUUAAUCAUCACCUGCAUUCUUUUAAUAAUACAAAUGACAUCGCUGCGCGGAAGAGCGUCUCUUGAAGUUUCCAAACAAGAGCCAAUGCCGCCGUGCCUGCUGCAUACACGCUUACCUUUCCUAGCGCACCUAAGACGCUGCACUAGCUCUGCUACUGCGUGAUACAGGGUCACUGUGAUAAUAAAAUUAAAAAGAACAAACGAAAUUAAUGCAGAAAAUGUCAAACGUUGCCAAGCGUGAUAAACGGACCUGCCUCGCUAGAUGAGUUGAAGAAAUCGGCGUCCUGAAGUCAGCUUCGCCGCAGUAGACUAGUGUUACGCGGUGUGAAGCAUGUCAGAACUGAAGAGUGACCGCUUUCACCGACAUAUAUGUGUUCCUUAAUGAUGUACUUGUGGAGCUGCCGUCUCCUAUUACAUUACGCGCGCCGAGGCGCCUAAGUGUACAGGCCGACCUUCAGCGCUAUUUUUUUCGGACGUGGCUGUGAUUCUUUGAACCGUUGGUUUGUCGACCUCGUAAGCCAGUUAAUGUUUACACGGCCAUUUUUUUCUGAACUGUUGAUUUCUUCCAUAAUAGCUACGUAAUUUCGUAGUUUCCUGUUCAACUGCUUUGGUCAUAUGCGAGUCAAGGUGUUCUCUGUAGCCGAGCGCAGUUUUCGAAAGCGAAACGACGCUUUUGCAUCAGCAUAUAGUGCCGUCGCCCAUUUACAACACAGUCAAUGUCAUCUUGUAUGUCACUGGGAAACCGCCGAACGCAGGGAACUCACUCGCAUGCGGGGAACUGCAUAACUAGCCACUGGAUUAGCGUGCCUCUUGGGAAGCUGCUUUGCAUCAAAGGCCAGGUACCCUUGCUAUGAUUCACCGCAAAACAUGUAUGUCUAACUGCUUAACAUAUUUGUAUUGCGUUGAAGCUAACCUUAUGGAACCGAAUUUCGCAACGCUUUUUAGACACCUGCAUCUCUACCAGCCACUACCAAACGCUUGUCGGUACGUUUCUUGGCAAAGGUCCAGCUAAAUCUCCCCUGUUGGAAGUGGGGGGGGCAGCCUUAGCUUGGGAGACCAGUGAUAUGGUAUAUUUUAUCAAACUAGGUGACACAUAGCAUUACCAGUCUGAAUAGAGACCUGUUUAAAUGUUUGUCACCUUUAACACCUAGAUUUUCGACCAUGAAUUCAGAAAAAUCUGUAACACAUUUAGAACCUAGAUUUUAAAUGCUGUAUAAGUUGGCUUCUUGUUCACUGCAGCUGUGCUCGGCUUCUGUCCAAACGGGAGAGCACUUCUGCACAGCUUAUUAGGGAACAUUAUUAUUUACAUACCUUCUUUUUAUUUAUCUCGCCUACAAUCACAAUCAAAUGUUUAUAGCACAUGAAUGUGCUGUGCAUGAAUCUUAACUUACAAUGCCAUGUUCAACAGCACAAUGCAUGUAGCUUGUGUUGGUCCAUUCAAGCUAAGCAUUGCUACAGCCUUUAACUGUAGGUAUCAUGGUAUGAGAGCAGAGAAAUGGAUAUGCAAAGACAGUUGGGCACAUUGAGACAACAUCUUUGUUGUGUGUGAAAAGGUGACAGAUACACAAUAUGGGGAGAACGCAUGCACUUUCAUAUUUUCUCGCGCUCAAAAAAAGCCGGAGGAAUAAGGUUUCUUCACUGUGCCAUCACGGAAUCAGGGUGUAGACGAGCCGUAUGUAAAAAUACUGAAAGAUAUCUAUAGCGGCUCCACAGCCACCAUAGUCCUCCAUAAAGCAAGCAACAAAAUCCCAAUAAAGAAAGGCGUCAGGCAGGGAGAUACGAUCUCUCCGAUGCUAUUCACAGCGUGUUUACAGGAGGUAUUCAGAGACCUGGAUUGGGAAGAAUUGGGGAUAAAAGUUAAUGGAGAAUACCUUAGUAACUUGCGAUUCGCUGAUGAUAUUGCCUUGCUUAGUAACUCAGGGGACCAAUUGCAAUGCAUGCUCACUGACCUGGAGAGGCAAAGCAGAAGAG
rnacentral:lncRNA from 1 species